rnacentral:rRNA from 2 species
GGACUACUGGGGUAUCUAAUCCCGUUUGCUCCCCUAGCUUUCGCGCCUCAGCGUCAGAAGAAAUCCAGUGCGCCGCUUUCGCCACCGGCGUUCCUUCCAAUAUCAACGCAUUUCACCGCUCCACUGGAAGUUCCGCACACCCCUAUUUCCCUCAAGACCAACAGUAUCGAAGGCACUUCUGCAGUUGAGCUGCAGGAUUUCACCCCCGACUUGUUGGACCGCCUACGCGCCCUUUAAGCCCAGUGAUUCCGAACAACGUUAGGACAGUUCGUCUUACCGCGGCUGCUGGCAC